rnacentral:lncRNA from 1 species
AUGAAAGUCCUGGGCUGCAAAUUCAGUUUUGGCGUAUUGGUAUUGGUCUGGUCAAUUUCAAUAGUUGCAAGAGCUGCUAAGAUGUUGUAGAAUUCGGGGUUAUGAUUUGGCGCAUCAGCUUUGGUCCUUAGCCUCGUUCUAGCCAUGCAUCCUAAGAUACUAAGCGAGUGAGCUUCAGGUUAAGCUUGGUGGAUAUGAGUGCAUUGAAGUAGAUGGGAGAGAAUGACCUCAAAGAUCUUGCAAUUCU